rnacentral:rRNA from 1 species
GGAAGGUAGCUUGCUACUGGACCUAGCGGCGGACGGGUGAGUAAUGCUUAGGAAUCUGCCUAUUAGUGGGGGACAACAUCUCGAAAGGGAUGCUAAUACCGCAUACGUCCUACGGGAGAAAGCAGGGGAUCUUCGGACCUUGCGCUAAUAGAUGAGCCUAAGUCGGAUUAGCUAGUUGGUGGGGUAAAGGCCUACCAAGGCGACGAUCUGUAGCGGGUCUGAGAGGAUGAUCCGCCACACUGGGACUGAGACACGGCCCAGACUCCUACGGGAGGCAGCAGUGGGGAAUAUUGGACAAUGGGGGGAACCCUGAUCCAGCCAUGCCGCGUGUGUGAAGAAGGCCUUAUGGUUGUAAAGCACUUUAAGCGAGGAGGAGGCUACUUUAGUUAAUACCUAGAGAUAGUGGACGUUACUCGCAGAAUAAGCACCGGCUAACUCUGUGCCAGCAGCCGCGGUAAUACAGAGGGUGCGAGCGUUAAUCGGAUUUACUGGGCGUAAAGCGUGCGUAGGCGGCUUAUUAAGUCGGAUGUGAAAUCCCCGAGCUUAACUUGGGAAUUGCAUUCGAUACUGGUGAGCUAGAGUAUGGGAGAGGAUGGUAGAAUUCCAGGUGUAGCGGUGAAAUGCGUAGAGAUCUGGAGGAAUACCGAUGGCGAAGGCAGCCAUCUGGCCUAAUACUGACGCUGAGGUACGAAAGCAUGGGGAGCAAACAGGAUUAGAUACCCUGGUAGUCCAUGCCGUAAACGAUGUCUACUAGCCGUUGGGGCCUUUGAGGCUUUAGUGGCGCAGCUAACGCGAUAAGUAGACCGCCUGGGGAGUACGGUCGCAAGACUAAAACUCAAAUGAAUUGACGGGGGCCCGCACAAG